AUUCAGGUAGUUUAAUGAGAAUAAUAAUUUGUGGUGUUAUAGGUGUAUUUUUACUCUGGAUC
rnacentral:tRNA from 1 species